ACAGCAGUCGCCGCGGUAAUACAGAGGGUGCGAGCGUUAAUCGGAUUUACUGGGCGUAAAGCGUGCGUAGGCGGCUUCUUAAGUCGGAUGUGAAAUCCCUGAGCUUAACUUAGGAAUUGCAUUCGAUACUGGGAAGAUAGAGUAUGGGAGAGGAUGGUAGAAUUCCAGGUGUAGCGGUGAAAUGCGUAGAGAUCUGGAGGAAUACCGAUGGCGAAGGCAGCCAUCUGGCCUAACACUGACGCUGAGGUACGAAAGCAUGGGGAGCAAACAGGAUUAGAUACCCCUGUAGUCCCUGUCUCUUAUAC
rnacentral:rRNA from 1 species